rnacentral:rRNA from 1 species
CCUACGGGAGGCAGCAGUGGGGAAUAUUGCACAAUGGGCGAAAGCCUGAUGCAGCGACGCCGCGUGAAGGAUGAAGUAUUUCGGUAUGUAAACUUCUAUCAGCAGGGAAGAAAAUGACGGUACCUGACUAAGAAGCCCCGGCUAACUACGUGCCAGCAGC